UCUUUCAAGAUCAGUUGCGCUUUAAACAACCUCAUCUGAGCUUCUUCCCUCUCUAUCCUCUACCUUUCUUCCAAUUCCCGCUGCAUUUCCUCUUCAUGCCUCACCAGACUCUCCAAUUGAAAAGGUUCUGGUUUAGUGCAUGGCUUUGGCUCCGAUUUUGGUGGAAGAUACACAAUGAGUGAUAGUAUACAUUAAGAAUGCUCAUAAAACAAAUAUUUAUCAAUGGUUACAUGUACUUAAUAAGAUAUGCAUACCACAGGAUAAUCAGUAGAAUAAGGAUAUGGAUUGGCCUUUGGAACCCUAGCCCUCUCCUCUUCCAACUGCUUCUGUAUUACUUCCAUAACAAAUUUUGUUUCUUUCUUUGAUCAUCU
rnacentral:lncRNA from 1 species